UGUGCCGAAAGCAGUAGAUCAGUUUCCAUCCCAUCGCCGCUUCAAUCGGUACAGCCCAGGAUUCUCUCUACUCCGACUGCCUAUGUGUUCCCUUAUCGUGUUCUGGUGGGAAGCUGCCUAAUGAGAAAACAAAACCCGCGCAGAUCGAAACAAAGUACACAGUGCGGAACAAGAUCUUCGACUUCAGGAGGAGAACUAAGAUCGGGAAAUAUGAACUCACACUUUGGGAAUGCCGACCGGGUCCGACAAUGGUUAUUAAUCAGUUUCCGAUACUGCCGUCGCCAGGAGACAAGAGUUUUGAAUAAAACUCCCAGAUGUCUGGGAAUAAAGAGGCAGAGGUGCACAGUGAUCACGCCGAGCAUCGAGGACGUGUCGCAGUCACACUUUUGAUGUUAAUUGAACGUGGCAAGCGAACGACAGUGCUCCCCAGAAUUUCCCACUUUCCCGAUUUUCUUCUCCACCAUGGCCGAGCUCAAGUAUCUUCGGGGGAUGUCGAUGCCUUAGCUGUCUAAUGCCGGAUUCGUGCUAAGUGGUGUGCCACCUCGAUCUCGUUGCCAAUACAAGCUUUGGUGGUCGGAAAGCCUAAUAAAAAAUGCACAGUACAGUCCAGGAGUUGGGGAGAAUAAAAGCACAAGAACGCCGUAAACAAAAACCCAAAUUGUGUGCCUUUUUUUGACUGGCAAGCUGGCAAACCAUCCCCCUCCCUUUCACCCCUAUUGCCCAUCUCACUUGCUCCUGUAGAGCUGCUGCACGGACUUGCUGCUUCUUCCGAAUUUUCGGCUGUUCGUCGUGUCCAUCGAGUGAUUUUGAUGGAUUGCUGCCAUUAAUCUAUGACGUACGCAACUACCAAAGGAAAUGCCAUCAUCAUCAAAAGCAGCCCAGAAGACCGGGCCGACAGCCGGGAUCUGAAGCCAAGGGAGUUGUGACAAGUGUCUGAAUCACUGGGCGCUGCAGUCGGGAUGACAUAUGGAGGCAGGGAGACCCAGCGACACGCAGCCGACAAUCGAUUAAUCAGCGAAAAAUAAUAAGAAACACGUUCGCUCCUCCCCGCCGAAAAUACGGUGACUCCCCGCGACUCCCCAGAUGUCCCGGAGAAGGAGAUGCAACUGCAGUCGAGAAUCGAGUCCCUGAAUGCGGAACUAAUGUCGCUCGAGCACUCAAAAAAUGGGGAACUCCAACAUUUCAGGCAGACAAAUAAAUAUAAAGCAGCAGCAUCUAAGGCGACGCUAUGACAAACAUAUUUAGAUGAAUAAAACUUUGGGUAGAGCCUG